AGGGAUGUAGCGCAGCUUGGUAGCGCGUUUGUUUUGGGUACAAAAUGUCACGGGUUGUCAUCCCUA
rnacentral:tRNA from 1 species